GUGCUCCCUUUAGCCGCACAUAUGCUAAAAUUGGAAUGAUACAGAGAUUAACAUGGCCCCUGUGCAAGGAUGACACACAUUCAUGAAGCAUUCCAUAUUUUU
ensembl:snRNA U6 U6 spliceosomal RNA